rnacentral:rRNA from 1 species
UAAGCGGAGGAAAAGAAACUAACAAGGAUUCCCCUAGUAACGGCGAGUGAAGCGGGAAAAGCUCAAAUUUGUAAUCUGGCGGUCUUAGGCCGUCCGAGUUGUAGUCUAGAGAAGCGUCUUCCGCGCUGAACCGUGUACAAGUCCCUUGGAACAGGGCGUCAUAGAGGGUGAGAAUCCCGUCUUCGGCACGGAUUGCCAGUGCUUAUGUGAUGCGCUCUCGAAGAGUCGAGUUGUUUGGGAAUGCAGCUCAAAACGGGUGGUAAAUUCCAUCUAAAGCUAAAUAUAGGCGAAAGACCGAUAGCGAACAAGUACCGUGAGGGAAAGAUGAAAAGCACUUUGGAAAGAGAGUUAAACAGUACGUGAAAUUGUUGAAAGGGAAACGCUUGAAGUCAGUCGCGUCUUCUGGGACUCAGCCUUCGCUUCUGCAAGGUUCACUUCCUGGAUAAGACGGGCCAGCAUCGAUUUUAAUCGCCGGAGAAAAGUCUUGGGAAGGUGGCAUCUUCGGAUGUGUUAUAGCCCUUGAUUGUAUGCGGCGGUAGAGAUCGAGGAUCGCAGCACGCCUUUAAUGGCCGGGGUUCGCCCACGUAACGUGCUUAGGAUGCUGGCGUAAUGGCUUUAAACGACCCGUCUUGAAACACGGACCAAGGAGUCUAACAUGCCUGCGAGUGUUUGGGUGGAAAACCCGGACGCGGAAUGAAAGUGAAAGGUUGGGACCUCUGUCGUGGAGGGCACCGACGCCCGGACCAGAUCUUCUGUGACGGUUCCGAGGUAGAGCAUGUAUGUUGGGACCCGAAAGAUGGUGAACUAUGCCUGAGUAGGGUGAAGCCAGAGGAAACUCUGGUGGAGGCUCGUAGCGAUUCUGACGUGCAAAUCGAUCGUCGAACUUGGGUAUAGGGGCGAAAGACUAAUCGAACCAUCUAGUAGCUGGUUCUG